rnacentral:rRNA from 1 species
UACGUAGGGCGCAAGCGUUAUCCGGAAUUAUUGGGCGUAAAGAGCGUGUAGGCGGUUCGGUAAGUCUGCCGUGAAAACCUGGGGCUCAACCCCGGGCGUGCGGUGGAUACUGCCGGGCUAGAGGGUGGUAGAGGCGAGUGGAAUUCCCGGUGUAGCGGUGAAAUGCGCAGAUAUCGGGAGGAACACCAGUAGCGAAGGCGGCUCGCUGGGCCAUUCCUGACGCUGAGACGCGAAAGCUAGGGGAGCGAACAGG